rnacentral:rRNA from 1 species
GUAGGGAAUCUUCGGCAAUGGGGGCAACCCUGACCGAGCAACGCCGCGUGAGUGAAGAAGGUUUUCGGAUCGUAAAGCUCUGUUGUAAGAGAAGAACGUGUGUGAGAGUGGAAAGUUCACACAGUGACGGUAACUUACCAGAAAGGGACGGCUAACUACGUGCCAGCAGCCGCGGUAAUACGUAGGUCCCGAGCGUUGUCCGGAUUUAUUGGGCGUAAAGUGAGCGCAGGCGGUUUAAUAAGUCUGAAGUUAAAGGCAGUGGCUUAACCAUUGUUCGCUUUGGAAACUGUUAAACUUGAGUGCAGAAGGGGAGAGUGGAAUUCCAUGUGUAGCGGUGAAAUGCGUAGAUAUAUGGAGGAACACCGGUGGCGAAAGCGGCUCUCUGGUCUGUAACUGACGCUGAGGCUCGAAAGCGUGGGGAGCAAACAGGAUUAGAAACCCGGGUAGUCC